rnacentral:rRNA from 2 species
UGGUGGGUAGUUUGACUGGGGCGGUCUCCUCCUAAAGAGUAACGGAGGAGCACGAAGGUUGGCUAAUCCUGGUCGGACAUCAGGAGGUUAGUGCAAUGGCAUAAGCCAGCUUGACUGCGAGCGUGACGGCGCGAGCAGGUGCGAAAGCAGGUCAUAGUGAUCCGGUGGUUCUGAAUGGAAGGGCCAUCGCUCAACGGAUAAAAGGUACUCCGGGGAUAACAGGCUGAUACCGCCCAAGAGUUCAUAUCGACGGCGGUGUUUGGCACCUCGAUGUCGGCUCAUCACAUCCUGGGGCUGAAGUAGGUCCCAAGGGUAUGGCUGUUCGCCAUUUAAAGUGGUACGCGAGCUGGGUUUAGAACGUCGUGAGACAGUUCGGUCCCUAUCUGCCGUGGGCGCUGGAGAACUGAGGGGGGCUGCUCCUAGUACGAGAGGACCGGAGUGGACGCAUCACUGGUGUUCGGGUUGUCAUGCCAAUGGCACUGCCCGGUAGCUAAAUGCGGAAGAGAUAAGUGCUGAAAGCAUCUAAGCACGAAACUUGCCCCGAGAUGAGUUCUCCCUGAGACUUUAGGUCUCCUGAAGGAACGUUGAAGACGACGACGUUG